rnacentral:rRNA from 1 species
CUACGGAAGGUCCGGGCGUUAUCCGGAUUUAUUGGGUUUAAAGGGAGCGCAGGCGGAGAUGCAAGCGUGACGUCAAAUUUCGGGGCUCAACCCCGUCUCGCGUCGCGAACUGCGUCCCUUGGUUGCGGGAAGGGGAGGCGGAACUCGUGGUGUAGCGGUGAAAUGCAUAGAUAUCACGAAGAACUCCGAUCGCGAAGGCAGCCUUCCGGCCCGUCAACGACGCUCAUGCUCGAAGGUGCGGGUAUCAAACAGGAUUAGAUACCCUGGUAGUCCGCACAGUAAACGAUGGACACCCGCGGUUUGGCCUAUAUGGCUGAGCCGCCAAGCGAAAGCGUUAAGUGUCCCACCUGGGGAGUACGCCGGCAAUGGUGAAACUCAAAGGAAUUGACGGGG